GAGUUCAUAUUGUCCAAACGGUUUGACACCUCGAUUAAAUAAAAGAGUCACAGUCGAGGUUAAAUCGGGUGAAUUGCGGGAAACUCUCAUUACUUAACUCAAUAGUGAGACAAUCCGCAGCCAAGUCUAUUAUGGUAUUUUAGCGGUUAUAAAAUCGAAGAUUGACCAGCUAAAUUGUAGUAGAAAGGUUCAACGACUAGAAGGUGAGUAGUACCAACAAUAAUCCUUCCACGAGCGCCCGACAAUUAUACCUUAUUUUAAUUGUAUUUGAUCAAGUUAAUAUAG
rnacentral:ncRNA from 1 species